CCUACGGGUGGCAGCAGUGAGGAAUAUUGGUCAAUGGACGAGAGUCUGAACCAGCCAAGUAGCGUGAAGGAUGACUGCCCUAUGGGUUGUAAACUUCUUUUAUAUGGGAAUAAAAUGUUCCACGUGUGGGAUUUUGUAUGUACCAUAUGAAUAAGGAUCGGCUAACUCCGUGCCAGCAGCCGCGGUAAUACGGAGGAUCCGAGCGUUAUCCGGAUUUAUUGGGUUUAAAGGGAGCGUAGGUGGAUUGUUAAGUCAGUUGUGAAAGUUUGCGGCUCAACCGUAAAAUUGCAGUUGAAACUGGCAGUCUUGAGUACAGUAGAAGUGGGCGGAAUUCGUGGUGUAGCGGUGAAAUGCUUAGAUAUCACGAAGAACUCCGAUUGCGAAGGCAGUUCACUGGACUGCAACUGACACUGAGGCUCGAAAGUGUGGGUAUCAAACAGGAUUAGAUACCCGAGUAGUC
rnacentral:rRNA from 1 species